rnacentral:tRNA from 1 species
AAGCCCCGGUAGAAAUUAUUCUUACUCUUUAAAAUUUGCAAUUUUAUGUGCUAUACACUACAUGGCC